rfam:Anabaena sp. CRKS33 167, whole genome shotgun sequence.
GUCAGUAACCCAGCCCUAAAGGGACUGAGCUUGCAAAAGUAAUCAAGCAAGCUGUACUGACCAGUCUAAGUCUUCACUGACUACGUUUUUUGAGUCACGACACCGGGCGAAUGCGUAGCUAGUUCCCUGCUCUGUCGCUUGUGAUUAAACAGUUUCAAGGUAACAGAAACAGUGUUGCAAGCCUAACAAGCUCUUAAAACAUUGACGAAGCUAACAUUAC